rnacentral:rRNA from 1 species
AGCGAACGCUGGCGGCAGGCUUAACACAUGCAAGUCGAACGGGCGUAGCAAUACGUCAGUGGCAGACGGGUGAGUAACGCGUGGGAACGUACCUUUUGGUUCGGAACAACUGAGGGAAACUUCAGCUAAUACCGGAUAAGCCCUUACGGGGAAAGAUUUAUCGCCGAAAGAUCGGCCCGCGUCUGAUUAGCUAGUUGGUGAGGUAAUGGCUCACCAAGGCGACGAUCAGUAGCUGGUCUGAGAGGAUGAUCAGCCACACUGGGACUGAGACACGGCCCAGACUCCUACGGGAGGCAGCAGUGGGGAAUAUUGGACAAUGGGCGAAAGCCUGAUCCAGCCAUGCCGCGUGAGUGAUGAAGGCCCUAGGGUUGUAAAGCUCUUUUGUGCGGGAAGAUAAUGACGGUACCGCAAGAAUAAGCCCCGGCUAACUUCGUG